UACGGGGGGGGCAAGCGUUGUUCGGAAUUACUGGGCGUAAAGGGCUUGUAGGUGGCCAACUAAGUCAGACGUGAAAUCCCUCGGCUUAACCUCGGGCCUGCAUUCGAUACGGGCUGACUAGAGUUCGGUAGGGGAGACUGGAAUUCCUGGUGUAGCGGUGAAAUGCGCAGAUAUCGGGAGGAACACCAAUGGCGAAGGCAGCUCGCUGGGACGUUACUGACGCUGAGACGCGAAAGCGUGGGGAGCAAACAGG
rnacentral:rRNA from 1 species